rnacentral:rRNA from 1 species
UACGGGGGGGGCAAGCGUUGUUCGGAAUUACUGGGCGUAAAGGGCUCGUAGGCGGCCAACUAAGUCAGACGUGAAAUCCCUAGGCUCAACCUAGGAACUGCGUCUGAUACUGGAUGGCUUGAAUCCGGGAGAGGGAUGCAGAAUUCCAGGUGUAGCGGUGAAAUGCGUAGAUAUCUGGAGGAAUACCGGUGGCGAAGGCGACAUCCUGGACCGGCAUUGACGCUGAGGAGCGAAAGCCAGGGGAGCAAACGGG